rnacentral:rRNA from 1 species
UACGGAGGGGGCUAGCGUUGUUCGGAAUCACUGGGCGUAAAGCGCACGUAGGCGGGUCGUUAAGUCGGGGGUGAAAUCCUGGAGCUCAACUCCAGAACUGCCUUCGAUACUGGCGACCUUGAGUCCGGGAGAGGUGAGUGGAACUCCGAGUGUAGAGGUGAAAUUCGUAGAUAUUCGGAAGAACACCAGUGGCGAAGGCGGCUCACUGGCCCGGUACUGACGCUGAGGUGCGAAAGCGUGGGGAGCAAACAGG